rnacentral:sRNA from 1 species
GCAACAACUCCAAUGAACGAGCAUCAGAUAUGUUUACACGUUGUUUUGUUGUUGCAUUAUUGUUGGGGGUGGGAUGUGUGACUUGGCCCCUUAAGCAAAUUAAUACAUGGUCAUAGUCAGAUGGAAUGUUAAAACAUUUGUACAAUUCUACUCAAGUUCUUGUAGAUCUCAGUUUUUUUUUAUAUUGGCAAUAUCUUCUGAAGCAAUUCCUGAGCAAUUGAUUCUUAAAAUUUCAUCUCUGCACGAAGUACGCAGUUAGUGCCUUACUCUGUCACAAAGGGACUGGAAAGAGUAAAGCUUCAAUACUGAGAUUCUCAUUUUAUUGUUAUGUGAGGAAAUAUUGUAUGGGUUAUGAGAAAAAUGCCAUGAAUAUAUACCUCGAAAUUCAGAAAUUACUUUUAAAAGCUAUGAAACAUUGUAGGCAGGACAUUUCCUCUUGUUCUUAAAUACACAAAUUCAUUGGGAGAGACAGUACUUGUAAGCAUUAAUUUCUGUUUCUCAAAAAAGCCAGAAUUAGCAGGUAAAAAUAUGCUUAUUCAAGUACCCACUUCAGAAGUCACCAUAUUCAAAGUGCACUGAUAUUGUUAGGAAACAUGACUCAGUAAAGAAAGAUGAGAUAAAUGAUAGGCAAUGUUAUCGAAUUGAUAAGGAAACUUUAGUCAGGAGUUUGAUGAAAUUUGUGUAUUUUUCAUUUGACUUUUAACAUUUGACUACACAUUAAGGAUAUCUCUCUUGAAAGACACACUAACAUUAGUUUACUCCCCAGAUACAAACCUAGAAUUUUAACUGUCAUAAAAUUGUUCUCCACUUCAUCUAUUGUGCGACAAGGAAAUAUGAUAUAGCUCAGGGAUUCUGGAGAUGGAAGGUUCACACCGAGUGUCCCGAUUUGUGAUAAGAGGAAGGUCAAGGCCGGCAGCUAGAUCUGGAGGAACUACUACAUCACAACUUCGCACAAUCUCUGCAUUUACCCAGUGCCUUUCAUGUUGUCCACAUAGCACAUUUUGUUGUACCAUCUUCAGGCAUCUUUGUAACAUUUUACUAACAUGACAGUCAAAAAAAAGUUUUGGGUGAAAUUGUCAUUGGAAUAGCCAUGUUAUGUUUGGACACGUGAUAAUGUCUUUGUAAGUGAAAGUGUUUUUCACUUUUUCCUUGCAAUGUUUUUUUUUUCGAUGUUGUCCAUGCACACAUAAUUUUGACGAGAGUCAAGUUAUGUAACAAACCCAGUGAAUUGUGUUACAUUUAUGUUAAAAAUCGGUGACUGCAGAUAACUGCCACACUAUAUAGGAGAAUAAUUCAAUCAUCAUACAUUUUCACACAUACAUGUAGCUAUUCAAAAAGGUCUUUUUUUUAAAUAAUUGUUUAUCAUAGCAGAUAAAAAUGGAGAAAAUGGACAACAAUUGUCAGUUGGUACUUGUACAAACAGUUUGAGUGGCAUUGAAAAACCAUCAUUUUUCCACUUCUUGUAUAGCAAACCUCUGUAAUCAAAUCAUGCUAGACUCAGGUCAAAAAUGAAAAGAACUGUUUCAUACAUGAGACACUGGCCCAUUCUCCACUGAAUAUACAUUUCAUAUUCCAUCAGUGAUCAUAUAUAGCAGUAUUUGUUCAUCAUCAAGUGCUUGAAACCCUUCAAUAUUUUCACCUUGUACAUAUCCCUUGGAAUCUGUUCAAGGUACAUGUUCAUUAUGAUUGAGAUACCCAUGUUUCUGAUGGUUGGUAUACUUGUAUGUGUUGUGUUGAGUACCAAACGUACAAGAGAACGACAGAUAUCUCAACAUGUGACUAUAUCUUGCUUGUUGUUAAUUUUUGUCGGAAUUUUUUCUCUGCAUUCUCUGUUUAUCCUACAUGCUGAGAAAAUCAUUUCUGUUAUUAUGAUGUUAUCUAUGAUGUUAUUUUGUUAGUUGUGCUUAAUUAGAUGUGAACUAGUUUUGUAUAAAUUGACACAAAAUGUUAUUAAAAAAUUAAUUCAAUAUACAGUCUCAAAGUGCUCCAGUUUUAUAAAAUCUGUUAAAACAAAAUGAAUAAAAGCCAUUCUAAAAUAAAGUAUUUAUC